rnacentral:rRNA from 1 species
UACGUAGGUGGCAAGCGUUGUCCGGAUUUACUGGGUGUAAAGGGCGUGCAGCCGGAGAGGCAAGUCAGAUGUGAAAUCCGCGGGCUCAACCCGCGAACUGCAUUUGAAACUGCUUCCCUUGAGUAUCGGAGAGGUAAUCGGAAUUCCUAGUGUAGCGGUGAAAUGCGUAGAUAUUAGGAAGAACGCCAGUGGCGAAGGCGGAUUACUGGACGACAACUGACGGUGAGGCGCGAAAGCGUGGGGAGCAAACAGG